GUGCUCACUUUGGCAGCACCUAUACUAAAAUUGAAAUGACAUAGAGAAGAUUAGCCUGGUCCCUGCACAAGGAUGACAUGCAAAUUUAUGAAGGGUUACAUAUUUUU